rnacentral:lncRNA from 1 species
CUGUAGCUGCUGACGUUGUAGUGGUUGGGGACAUAUUUGUUGUCGUAAAAGCUACAGUUGUUGUUGUAGGUGCUGCUGUUGUGGUUGUCGUUGUAGGUGCUGCUGUUGUAGUGGUCGUAGUAUCUAAAGUUGUAGUAGGAGUAUCAGUUGCGGUUGUCGUAAGAGCUGCGUUUGUAGUGGUCGUAGUGGGUGCUUCUGUUGUAAUGGUCGUGGGAUCUAAAGUUGUAGUAGGAGCUGCAGUUGUGGUUGUCGUAGGAGCUGCAUUUGUAGUUGUUGUAGUAGGAGCUGCAGAUGUGGUUGUCGUAGGAGCUGCAUUUGUAGUUGUUGUAGUAGGUGCUGCUGUUGUAGUGGUUGUAGGAGCUACAGAUGUUGUAGUUGGAGCUGCAGUUGUGGUUGUCGUAGGAGCUUCAGUUGUCGUUGUUGUAGGAACUGCUGAUGUAGUUGUUGUAAGAGCUGCAGUGGUUGUUGAAGUAGGUGCUGCAGUUGUAGUGGUCAUAGGAGCUACAGAUGAUGUCGUAGGAGCUUCAGUUGUGGUUGUCGUAGUAGCUGCAUUUGUAUUUGUUGUAGUAGAUGCUGCUGUUGUGGUCGUAGGAGCUACAGAUGUUGUAGUUAGAGCUGCCGUUGUGGUU